GUUAAGACCGGUCUUUAAAAUUAGUGUCUUUUUCCAUUCAUAACCAUUAUUCCUAAAUCUUCUCCCCGUGACCAACGAAACCCUCUUCCGGAAACUUAAUUUUGUGGCGCAAUUCCAGAGUUCAAAUUCGACCAAGAACAGAGCCCUAUCAGAGAGCAACAGAAGCUUCCUGAACUCUUCCAUCACCAACAUGGACUCGACGGUGGCAUCGCUAACCCAAACAGUUCUCAGGAACGAGAGCUGGCGCAAAAUGAUGUCGUCAUUGUCGUUGUAGUCCUCAGCAAAAAAGGAAAAUAGGGUUCCGGAGUGAGUUCCUUUAACUCUCGACUAGUUAAUUAAUUCACACUCGCUCUUUUGUGAUUUCCUUUAACUCCAUAUAGCUAGAAAGAAAGAAAGAAAGAAGGAAAUGGUUAUUUCCUUCAACGGAACCAGGAUUGGAUUUGGUACGCUAGUUUGGGUUUCACGAUUUCUGCAUACUUGGAAUCUCAAAUUCCUAUCUCGAAUGCUAAUUUUUCUUUUUUAGGUUUUGGCGUAGGUUGCGGUUUCGGUAUAGUAGGGGGUUUCGGAGGUUUAUGCCUUAUUUUCGAACCAUUUUAGACAUUUCUAUAGAUUUUGCAAUUUAAUUUCAGUACACAAUUUUCAUAGGCACCAGUACUACUAUAUAUGGGGGGGUAGGGGUUACCAGAUUUGUUUUCAGUGAGCUCAAAAGUUAUGGAAUUUUCAUGAGAAAGGUCUACAGUUCAACAAAGGAGGACUUCGUGGCAAGAUGGCAUUCUUGGCACAAACUAUCCUAUUCCUGCAAAGUGGAACUGGACUUACCAGUUUCAAGUGAAGGAUCAAACUGAAAGCUUUUUCUACUUCCCUUCCCUUCAUCUUCAGAGAGUUGUUGGUGGAUUUGGGGGUUUCAUCAUAAUAAACAACAGGCCCAUCAUUCUGAUUCCUUUUGAUACCCCAUAUGGGGACUUAUUGUUUUCAUUGGAGAUUGGUACACCUGCAAUUAUCUAUCAGAUUUUGAAUGGUGUUAAUGUGUUAUUCCCUAUUUGGAAAUUUGAAGGUUGUGACAAGUUAGUGAACUUUUAAAAUUAGUUUGAAUAGUAUGAAAGAGUAGCUACAGUGAAUAUUGAGGCUGAGCUUGAAUAGCUCUGGACUGGAGGAAUUAUUAUUGGGUUCUGGAAACAUGUUGAAAGAAGAAAUUGGCAGAAUCUACAGAACCGGUGUUUAUGUUUGUGAAGGAAACAGAGGUUUGUCUUGGAUUUAUGUGCCUUCGAGAUUUUUCCACCAUGGACAACAACUUAUAAGUCAUUAGCGGAUGCAGCUGCUGUUGAAACUUUUCUGAAUACCGAGAAGGUCAGUGUGACUGGUGGAAAUAGUGAGGUUGAAGCAGCAAAAGUUGGGCGUUUAGUUGCAUCAUCUUCACUUGUAAAGGGAUGAUAAUUGAACUAAAGAAAUCUUUUACAUUUUUCAAUCCGGCUAAAGUCUAAUUAUCCAACCUAAUGUUUCAUCAGGCUACUAUAUAUGGUAUAGACCCCAAUUGGGGACGCAUUGCUGCUGCAGCUUGUUACUCGGGGGUUUCAUUCCAUCAAGAUUUACUUAGGGUAGAGCUGGGGGAUAUUUUACUAAUGUAUGGUGGGGAACCACAAUUAUUUGACCGUGCUGGACUACACCAUACAACUUGUAGAAAUAGGAGUAGAGCACGAUGCUCCCCUGGCAUUGAUCAUUUUCUCUUUGCAGUAUGCCCAAGUCAAUCACGUCUAUUGGAAAUACAAGAUGAAGCAUAUUAGAUGGAAAAUAACAUCGAAUGUAUGUCCUACUUCUGUUUUAAGCCACACAAUUUUGUACUUGGUUUUGGAUCUUUACUAAAACACUUCUAAGAUUCCUAGUGACUGGUAAUCACUGAAAUAAUUGAGAAUGGGCAAGAAAAUAAAGGUAAGUGUGGGAAACAUGGUAAUUAGAAUGGCACAAAACGUACAGUUUGUAUUCCAAUUUUAAACAAUUUAUAUAAUUCAACUAGUCAAUUAUUUCUUA